UUACCCCUAAUCUUGUGUUUGGUGACCCAUUUUUCUUUCCUUCUUAUUGUGAAAAUAAUUGAGCUUCUUUUUCCCUUUUCCUUGGUGUUGAUGGUUCAUCCUCCCUAAUGUCUUAUCCGACGAUCACACUAUUAGUCUCCCCAUUGGCGUUUUCUCCCUAGUGAUAGACUUCAUUUUCUUGAGCUUUGGCUUUUGUCACAUCCCAAAAACUGAGGGUUAGUAAAAUUGGAUUUGUGAACCAAGAGAGAGAGUGGUGAUGCCCUAAUUUUUGAGAUUAUCUAUGCCCCAAAAGAACUCCAUGGCCUCCUCUAUCUUCUUGCUUGAGUGUUAUUUUCUUUAAUUUUUCUUGAUGGAUCUUUCAAUAAAAUACACAAUUUUUCAGAUCUGAAAUUGCGGUAAUUUUUAAAGAUUUAAUGAGUAUUUUUCCGGUCUUUAAAGUGAUUUUUAAAUGUGAUUUUAAAUCUGUCCCAAAUUGGUCACCGUUGGUGGUGGUGUAUGCACCUAAAGGCUAGAAAGGGGGCUGUUGUUCCUUUAAUUUGUUAUCAUCUUGACAUCAACAUGGAAUUUGAAGAAAAAUUGAAGAGACAUAUCAUGGUGUGUGAAGAAAAAAGUAGUAC
rnacentral:lncRNA from 1 species